UACGAAGGGGGGCUAGCGUUGCUCGGAAUCACUGGGCGUAAAGCGCACGUAGGCGGACUCUUAAGUCGGUGGUGAAAUCCUGGAGCUCAACUCCAGAACUGCCUUCGAUACUGGGAGUCUCGAGUUCGGGAGAGGUGAGUGGAACUGCGAGUGUAGAGGUGAAAUGCGUAGAUAUCUGGAGGAACACCGGUGGCGAAGGCGGCAUUCUGGACCGAGUAUUGACGCUGAGGAGCGAAAGCCAGGGGAGCAAAGCGGG
rnacentral:rRNA from 1 species